rnacentral:rRNA from 1 species
GAAUGAAGAAGGAUAAGCUCAACAUGAAAAUUGGGGCUUCUGGCCUUGAAUUGUAGUUUGAAGAUGCAUUUGCCAAUGGACAUGAUAAUGAAAGCCUUUUGGGAAAAAGCAUCAACGAGGGUGAGAAUCCUUCUUGACAUUUCAAUUGUCCAUGCACGGUGUGCAUUGAAGAUUCACGUUCCUUGGGAUUUGAACGCAAACUUGUUGGUAAAUUUCAUUUAAAGCUAAAUAUUGGUUUGAGACCGAUAGAAAACAAGUACCAUGAGGGAAAAGUGAAAAGGACUUUGAAAAGAAAGUUAAAAGUGCUUGAAAUUGCUGAAGAGGAAGCGGGUGUAUUUUGAACACAAUUUUCAAGAUUGUUGUGCAUAUCUUUGAUACCUUGUUGUCUUGAUUUAAUUGCAGCGAUAAGUUUUAUUUGUGAAUGUACAAUGUUGCUUGUGUUUUGUGCCUUCAUCGAUCCACAGCUAUAGAAACAACCUUAACAUGGCAAUUUGCUCUUGUGCAAAUGAAUGUUUGGGUUCAGAUUUAGCUUGUGAAUCGUCCUUCUUCUUGUUGUGUUG